GACGAACGCUGGCGGCGUGCUUUACACAUGCAAGUCGAACGGUGAAGGUGGAGCUUGCUCCGCCGGAUCAGUGGCGAACGGGUGAGUAACACGUGGGCAACCUGCCCCUAACUUUGGGAUAACUACUCGAAAGAGUAGCUAAUACCGGACAUGAAGUCUGUAGGCAUCUACGGAUUUGGAAAGUUUUUCGGUUAGGGAUGGGCCCGCGGCCUAUCAGCUUGUUGGUGAGGUAGUGGCUCACCAAGGCGACGACGGGGAGCCGGCCUGAGAGGGCGACCGACCAAACGGGGACUUAGAAACGGCCCAGACUCCUACGGGAGGCAGCAGUGGGGAAUAUUGCGCAAUGGGCGAAGCCUGACGCAGCAACGCCGCGUGCGGGAUGAAGGCCUUCGGGUUGUAAACCGCUUUCAGCAGGGAAGAAGCGAAAGUGACGGUACCUGCAGAAGAAGCACCGGCUAACUACGUGCCAGCCGCCGCGGUAA
rnacentral:rRNA from 1 species